rnacentral:rRNA from 1 species
GGUUAAGCGACUAAGCGUACACGGUGGAUGCCCUGGCAGUCAGAGGCGAUGAAGGGCGUGCUAAUCUGCGAUAAGCGCCGGUAAGGUGAUAUGAACCGUUAUAACCGGCGAUACCCGAAUGGGGAAACCCAGUGUGACUCGUCACACUAUCAUUAACUGAAUCCAUAGGUUAAUGAGGCGAACCGGGGGAACUGAAACAUCUAAGUACCCCGAGGAAAAGAAAUCAACCGAGAUUCCCCCAGUAGCGGCGAGCGAACGGGGAGGAGCCCAGAGCCUGAAUCAGCAUGUGUGUUAGUGGAAGCGUCUGGAAAGGCGCGCGAUACAGGGUGACAGCCCCGUACACAAAAGCGCAUGUGCUGUGAGCUCGAUGAGUAGGGCGGGACACGUGGUAUCCUGUCUGAAUAUGGGGGGACCAUCCUCCAAGGCUAAAUACUCCUGACUGACCGAUAGUGAACCAGUACCGUGAGGGAAAGGCGAAAAG